AGAGUUUGAUCCUGGCUCAGGAUGAACGCUGGCGGCGUGCUUAACACAUGCAAGUCGAACGAAGCACCUGAGAACGAUUCUUCGGAUGAAGUCUCUUGUGACUGAGUGGCGGACGGGUGAGUAACGCGUGGGUAACCUGCCUCACACAGGGGGAUAACAGUUGGAAACGACCGCUAAUACCGCAUAACCCGCUGGUGCUGCAUGGCACUGACGGAAAAGAUUUAUCGGUGUGAGAUGGACCCGCGUCUGAUUAGCCAGUUGGCAGGGUAACGGCCUACCAAAGCGACGAUCAGUAGCCGGCCUGAGAGGGUGAACGGCCACAUUGGGACUGAGACACGGCCCAGACUCCUGCGGGAGGCAGCAGUGGGGAAUAUUGCACAAUGGGGGAAACCCUGAUGCAGCGACGCCGCGUGAGUGAAGAAGUAUUUCGGUAUGUAAAGCUCUAUCAGCAGGGAAGAAAAUGACGGUACCUGAUUAAGAAGCCCCGGCUAACUACGUGCCAGCAGCCGCGGUAAUACGUAGGGGGCAAGCGUUAUCCGGAUUUACUGGGUGUAAAGGGAGCGUAGACGGCUGUGCAAGUCUGAAGUGAAAUGCCGGGGCUCAACCCCGGAACUGCUUUGGAAACUGUACAGCUAGAGUGCAGGAGGGGUGAGCGGAAUUCCUAGUGUAGCGGUGAAAUGCGUAGAUAUUAGGAGGAACACCGGUGGCGAAGGCGGCUCACUGGACUGUAACUGACGUUGAGGCUCGAAAGCGUGGGGAGCAAACAGGAUUAGAUACCCUGGUAGUCCACGCCGUAAACGAUGAU
rnacentral:rRNA from 1 species